rfam:Cavia porcellus supercont2_21 genomic scaffold, whole genome shotgun sequence.
GGGGAUUUAGCUCAGCGGCAUAAGCGCCUGCCUUGCAAGCAGGUUGUCGUGAGUUCGAUCCCCG